rnacentral:misc_RNA from 1 species
UUAAGUUCAGCGGGUAGUCCUACCUGAUUUGAGGUCAAGCAUUCAGAAAAAUUGUCCUGAGACGAUUGGAAGCUGAACAACAGAGAGCAAUCCCCUCGCCAGUGUAGAUAAUUUAUCACACUUGUGGCAGAUCGCAAACGGUUCCGCUAAUGCAUUUCAGAGGAGCUGACCCCAGCAAGUGGCCAGCAAGCCUCCACAAU